rnacentral:rRNA from 1 species
GAUGAACGCUGGCGGCGUGCCUAAUACAUGCAAGUCGAGCGAACAGAUAAGGAGCUUGCUCCUCUGACGUUAGCGGCGGACGGGUGAGUAACACGUGGAUAACCUACCUAUAAGACUGGGAUAACUUCGGGAAACCGGAGCUAAUACCGGAUAAUAUAUUGAACCGCAUGGUUCAAUAGUGAAAGACGGUUUUGCUGUCACUUAUAGAUGGAUCCGCGCCGCAUUAGCUAGUUGGUAAGGUAACGGCUUACCAAGGCAACGAUGCGUAGCCGACCUGAGAGGGUGAUCGGCCACACUGGAACUGAGACACGGUCCAGACUCCUACGGGAGGCAGCAGUAGGGAAUCUUCCGCAAUGGGCGAAAGCCUGACGGAGCAACGCCGCGUGAGUGAUGAAGGUCUUCGGAUCGUAAAACUCUGUUAUUAGGGAAGAACAAAUGUGUAAGUAACUAUGCACGUCUUGACGGUACCUAAUCAGAAAGCCACGGCUAACUACGUG